AUUGCUUCUCGGCCUUUGGGCUAAGAUCAAGUGUAGAAACUAUUUGACUCCAUAUACAAAGGACAUAAAAUCUUUCUCUGUGAUUUUGAUUUGUCAAUGUCUCAUUGUAAUUUUGUCAGGUUUUUGAUUUUGGAUGAACCUUUUUCAAUGCACACAAAGCCACAGUUGUAUCUUCUUAAUGAAAUGACCCAAA
ensembl:snRNA U2 U2 spliceosomal RNA